rnacentral:tRNA from 1 species
GGUUGUGGCUCAGUGAUAGAGCCUUUGCCUAGUAUGCAUAAGGCACUGGGUUCGAUCCCUGGCACCA